rnacentral:rRNA from 1 species
UUAGAAACCCGAGUAGUCCGCAUAAUGUGCCAGCAGCCGCGGUAAUACGUAGGGCGCAAGCGUUAUCCGGAAUUAUUGGGCGUAAAGAGCUCGUAGGCGGCUUGUCGCGUCUGCCGUGAAAGUCCGGGGCUUAACUCCGGAUCUGCGGUGGGUACGGGCAGACUAGAGUGCAGUAGGGGAGACUGGAAUUCCUGGUGUAGCGGUGAAAUGCGCAGAUAUCAGGAGGAACACCGAUGGCGAAGGCAGGUCUCUGGGCUGUAACUGACGCUGAGGAGCGAAAGCAUGGGGAGCGAACAGG